rnacentral:rRNA from 1 species
UGUACACGCUGUGACUAGCAUAUCAAUAAGCGGAGGAAAAGAAACUAACAAGGAUUCCCCUAGUAACGGCGAGUGAAGCGGGAAGAGCUCAAAUUUGAAAUCUUAAAGGGUUUCCCUUUACGAAUUGUAGUUUAAAGAAGUGUUUUCUGUUGAGGUUUUGGUAAAAGUUCUUUGGAAUAGGACAUCAUAGAGGGUGAGAAUCCCGUAUUUGACCUUUACUUUCAACUUUGUGAUACACUUUCAAAGAGUCGGAUUGUUUGGGAAUGCAGUCCAAAAUGGGUGGUAAAUUUCAUCUAAAGCUAAAUAUUGGCGAGAGAUCGAUAGCGAACAAGUACCGUGAGGGAAAGAUGAAAAGAACUUUGAAAAGAGAGUUAAACAGUACGUGAAAUUGUCAAAAGGGAAGCGUUUGACACCAGUGUUGUUUUUCUGAAAAUCAAUUAAAGAACUGUUUAUGCUAAGCUGUUUAGACUUUAUCAGCUAUCUGUUUAGUUUUGAGCUUUUCUUUAAUGCACUUUUCAGUUAACAAGUCAACAUCAAUUUCUUUUGCUGUAAAAAAGCUUGAGGAAGGUGGCUUGAGAUUCGUCUUAAGUGUUUAUAGCCUCUUGCCUAUGCAGUCGGAGAGAUUGAGGUCUGCAGCGUAGAUCCUUCGGGGCUAAAUGCAUUUGUGCUAAGUUAUAGCAUUUUAUAGACAACUUGUUGACUAUGAUUUGUCUUGUAGCUUACUCGCUUAUGUUAUUUUACCUACGCUUAGGAUGUUGACUGAUAUGUAGUCGUA